GACGAAUGCUGGCUGCGUGCUUAACACAUGCAAGUCGAACGGUGAAGGGGAGCUUGCUCCCCGGAUCAGUGGCGAACGGGUGAGUAACACGUGGGCAACCUGCCCCUCACUCUGGGAUAACUCCGGGAAACCGGGGCUAAUACCGGAUACGACCGGGAGCGACAUCGCUCCUGGUGGAAAGAACUUCGGUGAGGGAUGGGCCCGCGGCCUAUCAGCUAGUUGGUGGGGUAACGGCCCACCAAGGCGACGACGGGUAGCCGGCCUGAGAGGGCGACCGGCCACACUGGGACUGAGACACGGCCAGACGCCUACGGGAGGCAGCAGUGGGGAAUAUUGCGCAAUGGGCGAAAGCCUGACGCAGCGACGCAGCGUGAGGGACGAAGGCCUUCGGGUUGUAAACCUCUUUCAGCGGGGACGAAGCGAAAGUGACGGUACCCGCAGAAGAAGCACCGGCUAACUACGUGCCAGCCGCCGCGGUAA
rnacentral:rRNA from 1 species